CUUUUAAGACCCACGCGUUUUUCAUUCUUCUAUUCUAUUUCACGCAGCAAUUGAUAGAUCUAGGUUUUCUAUCUCUUCAUCACUCCUCUUUCUUAUGUUGAAAGGUCACUAGAUCGAGCUUCGUAGGCUCCGAUUCAUGAUCUGGUUCUCUCCAUCUUGGCUCAAAGCUCUCGAUUAGUCCGAUUUGAAGAUUAAUUUUAGUCACAGAACCACCAUCACAACUAUACUGUGUCAAUCUUUGCAGCGAUGUCAAUCUUUGCGUUUGUGCUUGAACAGGUUUGGCUAGAACAGAACUGUGUUGCGUAUAGUCACAAUUGAGGCAAGGUUUUGGAGGCAGUUUCAAUUCAAGACUGCUAUGUAGUUCCAAAUCCCCCCCUCCUUUAGUUUCUUGGAGGAAAUCAUCCUUGGGAGUGGUCAAAACUUUGUAUUAGAGGUAUUUAUUUUAAUCGUGUUAGAACUUUGUAUGACUUAUUGCAUGAAUGUUUUCAAUACACGCGAGUAUGAUAUGUCAAAUAAAUUAUAAGGAUGGGUUUUCUUUUGCUGAAGUGAUCAAGAAUAUAUAUAUUUUUCAUUAUUUGUGCAUAAAGCAAAUCCAAUUAUGGUCUUCUCCUAAGCUGAGUUAUCAAAAGCUGCAUGUUUACCAAAUUCUGUUAUUGGCUAAUGAUAUUUUUCUUGCAGUGCUAGUUAACAAUAUUUUUACUUGAACUAGCCACUUGUUCUGUGCUCCUAU